AACGAACGCUGGCGGCAGGCCUAACACAUGCAAGUCGAACGAUCCUUCGGGAUAGUGGCGGACGGGUGAGUAACACGUGGGAACGUGCCCUUUGGUUCGGAAUAACUCAGGGAAACUUGAGCUAAUACCGGAUGUGCCCUUCGGGGGAAAGAUUUAUCGCCAUUGGAGCGGCCCGCGUUGGAUUAGCUAGUUGGUGGGGUAAAGGCCCACCAAGGCUACGAUCCAUAGCUGGUCUGAGGGGAUGAUCAGCCACACUGGGACUGAGACGCGGCCCAGACUCCUACGGGAGGCAGCAGUGGGGAAUCUUGCGCAAUGGGCGAAAGCCUGACGCAGCCAUGCCGCGUGAAUGAUGAAGGUCUUAGGAUUGUAAAAUUCUUUCACCGGGGACGAUAAUGACGGUACCCGGAGAAGAAGCCCCGGCUAACUUCGUGCCAGCCGCCGCCGUAAGAC
rnacentral:rRNA from 1 species